UUGUUUCGUAGAAGUGAGUCAUUUUGCAAGACAUUUGGAAAGAAAACAUGAUGACGAAAGUCGAGUAAAAAAUAUUUUAUCUUUUCCAAAAGGAUCUAAUGAAAGGAAAACCUUAUGGGAUUAUUUACGCAAGGAAGGAAAUUUUCAUUUGUUUAGAGAAGAAAAAAAAGUGGUGGCUGUUCGAAGGCCCACGGAAGCCCAAGCAUUAGACUUUGACGAUUUUGUUGUUUGCGAAAACUGUUCUGGGGUGUACAAAAAAUUUUUUUCUAUAAGCAUGCUAAAAAUGCCAAGAAAAACACUGGUACAAAGUGUGGGCGACUAAAUGCCUUAACUCAAUCCCAAACAUUUUCAGCGGAUUCUCGCUGCCAAAACAGUUUUUUAUCACAGUCAAGAUUAAAGAAAGAGGUAUUUUGCAUUAUGAAAGCAGAUAAAAUAAGCGCCACCUCAAAAAAUAAUAUUUUUAAUAUGUUUAUUCGGGGAAACCCAUCUCAAAAAACAUAAAAGAAAGCAAAUUGUAACAGUAGCAACAAAAUGAGAGAAUUAGCAAGACUUUUGAUUGCUCUUAGAGAGUUCACACCUGUUCAGAACCUAAUUGAUGCUAUGAAACCAGAAUUAUUUGACGAUUUAGUUACGGCCACAAAAGUAAUUUCGGGAUUUAGCAAUGCCGAUAAAAGCUUUAAAUCUUCUUCAUUAGCACUUCAUAUGGGUACCACUUUAAAACAAGUAUGCGAUAUAACUAAUCGAAUGAUUUUAAAAAAAUUUCCAUUCUUUACCUUUAAAAAUCCUAAUGAGGAAAAAAAGCAUUCCAGAUUUUAAAACAUUAGAGAUCAGUUGGGCCAAUGAAAUUUCUUCAUUAGGCCUUAAAACAAUAAAAGAACGGCAAUGGGAAAACCCCAAAUACUGCCGGUGACAAGUGAAGUAAUUAAGUUUAAUAGUUUUGUCAAAAAUCAGGUUGAAGACAGUGCCAAAAAAUUAAACAAACUUUUAGAAAAGAAGGGGAAACAAAAUGACAAAAAUAAUUUACUUCCUUUAUAUAAAACCUUAGCAAAAGGAGUAAUGGCCCUUCUUUUAAUACUAAAUAGAAAACGCAUCGGUGAGAUUCAAUACCUUGAAAUUUCUACUUACAAAAGAUCAUUUGCGGACCCCAGUGUUCAACAAGAAAUUGCUGAAAGUUUAACUGUUUCAGAAAAACUAUUGUGUAGAAACUUUUAGAAGAAUUAUUUUAUUUUAAUUUCUCCUUUUUUAAACGAGAAAAUUGAGCUGAUGAUUAAAAUAAGAGAAAAAAUAAAAUUAAUUCCAAAAGAUAAUAAAUACAUUUUUGCAAAUCCCAAUUCGUCGAAAGGUUGGUUUCAUGGAACAAGUGUAAUUAAACAAUUUGCAAAAAGCUGUGGGGCAAAGGAUCCCAACUCUCUAACUUCUACCGAAUUUCGAAAACAGACUGCAACAAUUUUACAGAUUAUGGAUAUUCAUAAUACUGACAUGGAACAAUUAGCCACUUUUAUGGGUCAUACAAAAAAAACCAUGAAGAAUGGUAUAGUUGUAAUAUUUUUUUAGACUUCCUCAAGAUCUAUACCAGACUGCAAAAAUAGCCAAACCAAUGAUCGCUUUAAAUAAAGGUGAUGUUAAUAUUUACAAAGGAAAGAGCUUAGACGAUAUCAAUAUAGAAGAAAAUGACUACUUGGAAAUUGAAAACAUAGAAACAGAAGUAAAUGAAAUAAAUGAAAAGAGCCUACUCAUUCUUGGAGUCCUAAAAGUAAUUGUAGCGAUGUAACUGACGAAAAAAUUGAACAAGCUAAUAAAAAUGGUAGGUAAAAGAUUAUUAUAAACGAAGUCUUAAAAAAUCAUUACAAUAAAUAUUAUAAAUGAAAAAAAAAGAUGAGUAGCUCCUAACUCUUAAAGCAGUUUUCUACUUAAAAGUAACAAAUAAAUAAUUAUUAUUAAUCUGCAGAAAAAGUUUCGUCGAAGGGUAAAAGAAAGUUAUCUACCGAUGAAAUGACGCAUCCAAUGCAAAAUAAUAAAGUUACAAAAAGAAAGCCAACUACUGAAAAAACCGAAAGCAGUUCAAAUGCGAUUGCAGGCACCGAUGGACCGAAAAGGACAAACAAACGAUGCUUAAAUACUUUACAAGAUUCAUAAAAGAAAAAGAGUUCCGAAAAAAGCAGACGUACAGGAAUUUAAAAAAAAAUAAAGCUGGAGAAAACUUUAAAUCAAUUGAUGGGGUAAAAAUUAAAACGUUUG
rnacentral:lncRNA from 1 species